GACGAACGCUGGCGGCGUGCUUAACACAUGCAAGUCGAACGGAAAGGCCUGCUUUCCCUUGUGGAUUGCGGGUACUCGAGUGGCGAACGGGUGAGUAACACGUGAGUGAUCUGCCCCCAACUUGGGUAUAAGCCUGGGGAACUGGGUCUAAUUCCCGAUAGGACUGCAGGGUGGUGCCUGUGGUGGAAAACGAUUUUCUAGUGGUUGGGGAUGAGCUCGCGGCCUAUCAGCUUGUUGGUGGGGUAAUGGCCUACCAAGGCGGCGACGGGUAGCCGGCCUGGGAGGGUGGACGGCCACAUUGGGACUGAGAUACGGCCCAGACUCCUACGGGAGGCAGCAGUGGGGAAUAUUGCACAAUGGGCGGAAGCCUGAUGCAGCGACGCCGCGUGGGGGAUGACGGCCUUCGGGUUGUAAACUCCUUUCGACCGCGAGGAAGCCACCUGGUUGGAAGGGUGGUGACGGUAGUGGUAGAAGAAGCACCGGCUAACUACGUG
rnacentral:rRNA from 1 species